GGCCAGUGUUUGCCUCAGCCUGAGCGUCGGUGGUCGCGGUGACGAGUGUCUAACAUGCAGCGCCGGGCAUCAUCAUCUGCGCGCCUUGGAGAAACGUGCGCACGCCUCAAGGCUGCUCCGCGCCGAUGAUGAACGCAUCCUUACGGGACACUCUCUUUUGGAUCCAACUGUAAAAAAAGAAAAUAAGCCACCACGACGAGGAGGAGAAGAAGUAAAUGACGAUGGGCUCCCAAGCUGUCUUGGAGUGACGCACCGACGUUAGCGCGCUUAUGUUCUGUUUUUAACCUCCUCACAUCGGACUAACGCUUUGGAUUGCACCAAACACAACAAGGGAUGAAUGCUAAAUUAUACCACAGCAGUGUCAUUUUCUGAGUUGGAGCCACACGUCCUUCUUUUACACCCCCACUCAUCCCUGCCCCGCACGGCUCCCUCUCAGUCCACCACCAGCCCGCUCCGCCAGGAUGCAGCUGCUCCGCGUUGCGUGGGCACUAACUGGAGCUGCGAUCUGCUGCUUCCUCAUCCUCCUCAUCCACUCUCGUCUGCUCAAAGAAGGCCAGCUGGCGGCGGGGACAUGUGAAAUUGUGACGCUGGACAGGGACAGCAGCCAACCACGGCGGACCAUCGCCAGGCAGACGGCCCGCUGCGCCUGCAAGAAGGGCCAGAUCGCCGGAACUACAAGAGCAAGACCCGCCUGUGUGGAUGCUGCCAUUGUUCGGAAAAAGCAGUGGUGCGAGAUGGUGCCGUGUUUGGAGGAUGAAGGCUGCGACCUGUUAGUCAAUAAAUCUGGCUGGACUUGUACGCAACCCGGAGGCCGAGUCAAAACAACCACGGCCCUAUGACGCGACAAGAGUCUCCCUCCACACCCUUGCACUAUGGAGAGCACUGAUGACCCCCUUGACAGACAGCCAAAAACCACCACCACCUUACCAACUUACCACCACUCUCACAACAAGCCUGCCCAUUCCCUGGUGCCGCAAAGGCAGGAAGUUCUCCAUCUGCACCCUGGUCCUCAUGGAGGCAGCAAGGUGUCAUAACACAGCCAGAGACAGGAACACAAUGCAGGAGUCCCGUCUUACCCCGGACAUUGGGUAAACUACUCGCUGUACAACACCGUUUCCUGUGAGCCACUCCACGGGCUUUCCUUUCUCUUGGUAUCUGUCUCGGCAUCACCUCCUCUCCACUUCUGCCUGCUCUGUCGAAUUAGCAGCUUAAUCUCCACGUCUUGGAGGGUCAGACUCUGGAAAAUAUCACGUGGGGGUUGGAAGUCCUCGGAAUUGCUUUGACUGAAGACUUUCCCCAGCAUUUCUUUCUCGAAGAGCAGGAGCGACGGAGGAUCAUUUAGGGAACUCUCUGCUGUGAAUAGGCCUUCUGCUGGAGCAAACCUCCCAUAUUUUUAUAGACCAAAGAGCAAAACAACACAUAGCCGUGACACAGUGGACCAUCUUGGCCAACCAGCGACUGUCCCACCCUUGGUGCAACAAUGGACACCUUACCUUAAUCCAAGGAGUACUUUUGACAAUUUACAGACUUUUUCCGUUGCUCGGACUGAGCCCACCACUGUAUUUUGGAACUGGAGAUAUAGGUACUACAUACGUAUAACGGUGUAUCAAAAAAAAAAAAAGAUCUGAUUUGCAUUUUUUAGUUGCAACGGUCGGGACGGCUGCGUUGGGAAAGAAGGCAAAGGGCAAAGUGUACUAAUGAAUGGAAGAAAUGUCAUUAAAUGUAUUUUGAAAGGCCCUAAAAGUUAUAUAUUUAACAGUUUUUCUAUGUUGUACCUUUGUAGAGAAGCUUAUUGGACGUGUGCUCACAAUGACAAUUAGGAUGUGAACAAACGCUGUUGUUCUCAUGACUGCUGGCGCGCUUUCUGUUCACACCUCAUUAGCUGCUUUCUUUUCAUGCUCAUUUCCAAGUCACUGUCCAUUAAAAAGCGAGGAAAAAAAAAAAACACCAUUUCUGGAGGACUGACCUGCAGCCGAUUUAACAUUGUAAAUCUAUAGGUGUCAGUGGAAGCCAUUGAAAAACCUGCUAAUUUGCUAUGAUAUUGUAUUGUACACAAUGUGGAAUACUGACUCAUUUCUCUCUAUGGGUUUUGAUCUCUUAAUUUAUUUCCGUGCUUGUGUUUGUUUGCACAGAUGGGAUGCCGACAAAUAGAAUGAGAAGUUAGAGAACAGCAGAGCAAGCCUUGCAGAUAUUACAGUCAUUGACAUACAGUUUUUUUUAUUAUUAUUAUUAUUGUUAUCAUUAUCAUGAGAUAUUUUAAGAAUAAAUUAAAUACAUGAAAGAAUUUUGCCCUGGAUAUUUAGACCGUGUUCACAGUCUCAGUUUGGUCUUGUUUAAAAAACACUGACACAAAAUAUGAAGAAAUUAUCAGCAGGAAGUCCAAAGGGUGCAACAUCUCGACAUAGCCAGUUGCCGUUUGACGCCCCUGCACCACCUGAAGCUCCAUUGUUUCCAUAGACGAAAAAAACUGCCCAGAACAUGAUGGCACCCGCUCCACUGUGCUGUGUGGAAAACAUCACAGUCAUGCCAGUCCUUGUCAUGCCAGUAAUGUUGGAAUCCAUCAGAACGAUCAAGGUUACAUUUUUUCUCAUCAGAGAAUAAAACUUUCCAUCUUUCAAUGUCCAUGUUUGAUGCUCUCCUGCAUAUUCUACAUUUGGUCCACAUUUGUGGUGUUGAAUGAGACGAGACCUUGGAAGAUGUUUUUUUGCUCUUAAACCCCUUCCCUCUCUCAGAUGCCGUUUGAUGGUUUUUGGACUGCUCCCGGCACCAGUAACAAGCUUCAUUUGGGCUGACAGCUUGACGGACAGCCAAUUGGAUCCUCCGGCUUUGCCUUUGCCAUCAAGAGAUCAUGACAGUGUGAAUAUCAAGUAAUCUACAUUUGUAUCAAGAUUUACUCUUUUGAUCAGUUUAGGAACAGCCUGAUCAAUUUUAGUCUCGCUCCUAUUUCUUCUUUUUGCAUACUGAAGCUCGACUUAGAACCUCCUUAAGAUCCGACAUUGCGGAAUGUAAAUCCUUGCCGGUUUUUAACUGGUCUUCAAAUUUUGAUCAAGAGUGUAUGAAAGUAUAUUAUGUGAAUAUAUUAUCAAUAGGGAAAUCACUGGUGAUGGAAAAAAGAAUAAAUUAGAAAUCACACGUUGCUAUGGGAACAAGGAUAGAUACAGUAUAUCGGGUUGAUGUCUGACACAGCAAAAGCUGAAAACAAGAUCAUCUUCCUCAAGAUAGAUGAGGCCACGGCGGCCAUGUUGCUACAAUUAUAACAAGUGGCCGUGAUUGUUUCAUUCAUUCAUCAAUUGUCCUCAGUGAUUAGACUUGUGAAAGGAGCUCCCAUCAUGGCUGAUUUGGAGCCGAGAGGCGCAUCAUGUAUUAACAGUCUAUUCAUCCAUGAUGGAUGCAUAAAAGUGUGCAAUAAUGGAUUCCACGAACUUUGUAGUAGUACUCUGUAUAGUAUGAUGAUGAUUAUACGCCAUUGUGCGUUUCAA